UGCUCCUAACAUUAACUACGUCGUUAAAUCCUUCUGAGUUUAUUUCGUAUGUGAAAUGGGGAAAAGAUAGCCACCUUGCAUAACUGGUGAAGAAUUCGUAAACUGACAGAAGAAUCUAGUAAGAGGACUGGCCCGUGGUCGGCUCUUAAUGGUGUCACAGAAUAAAGAAAAAGACUGGGAGAGAGAUGGGAGCUGAUAGACCAGAGGAGACCAAAGACUGAAACUGAAGACUAAACCAUGGAAAUUGGGAACAAGGACUUACUCGCUUAGAGGGUGAAAAAAGUGAAUUUGCCUACAGGGCAAAUCUGGAAGCAGCUCUCCCUGGGAGCGAGUCAAUGAAGAGCCAUUGGAGGAUUUUAAAUAAGGAACCGAAAAAUAGAGUCUGAAAAUAGAGGCGCAGAGACUGGUCAACCACAAUGAAGAACAAGCCAUUUUGACCUCCAUCCUGGCUCAUCUCCUCUGUGUUCUCAUAGCAUCAUGUUAUAGAACGGAUCACAAA
rnacentral:antisense_RNA from 1 species